rnacentral:rRNA from 1 species
UCCUCCCUCUGGCGGCGUGCUUAACACAUGCAAGUCGAACGGGAAGGCCCUGCUGUUGUGGGGUGCUCGAGUGGCGAACGGGUGAGUAACACGUGAGUAACCUGCCUUUGACUUUGGGAUAACUUCAGGAAACGGGGGCUAAUACCGGAUAGGAGCUCCUGCUGCAUGGUGGGGGUUGGAAAGUUUCGGCGGUUGGGGAUGGACUCGCGGCUUAUCAGCUUGUUGGUGGGGUAGUGGCUUACCAAGGCUGUGACGGGUAGCCGGCCUGAUAGGGUGACCGGCCACAUUGGGACUGAGAUACGGCCCAGACUCCUACGGGAGGCAGCAGUGGAGAAUAUUGCAUAAUGGGCGGAAGCCUGAUGCAGUCACGCCGCGUCCGGGAUGACGGCCUUCGGGUUGUAUACCGCUUUCGCCUGUGACGAAGCGUGAGUGACGGUAAUGGGUAAAGAAGCACCGGCUAACUACGUG